UCCAUGUAGGUUUCCCAGAGACUAUGGGUUGAGGAGGAAUUGGAAGUUUGUCGGCUUAGACCUGGUGUCAUUCCAUCAAUGUUAAACUUCCCGGCUCAUCUUGGAAGAGUACGUGCCAGAAAGACCACGACCAAGCAGCCUUGAGAUCUUAGGCAGAGUCUCCCUCAGGUCCCUCUCUAUCUCCCCACACAUCCACCAACCACUGGAACACAUCUCCAAAGUUCUGCCGGGCCAGCUCAGCUUCCCCUCAGAAGAAGUGCUGCCACCUGCCAGAUGAAGGAGCCUUUUGAGAAGCAGCUGGCAUCGUGAUUGGACUGUACUUUGGUCUGUUCCAAUCCAGCUUCAGCUCCAGAGACGGCAGGCGGGACGAGUCAACGGAGGCCGGGUGGACGAAGGCAUGCAGCUGAGUACAAUCCAGAAAACAACAGAGGAGGAGUGCAGCAGCUCAGGGCCAGAACAGAGUAGCAUCACCAAAGAACUACAGACUCUUCACAACCUGCUCAAACUCUUGGUACAGGACCUCACCACACGGGUCAAGAAGGUUUCCGUCUCAUUUCUACUCUGAAGCUCACCUUCUCCUGCUCAAACUGCUGACAAAUGUUUCUGCUGCUCUAAAGUCUGGUCUCCAGAACUUCCUAAAAACUCUCAAAGUCUCUUCUGCUGCAGGUUGCUUUGUAGAACUGUUGCAGAAAACCUCACUAAACCACAUGGAGGGGCCUCAAGAUAGUCGUCCAAAUGAAACUAUACAAAAACCAAACUAGCACAACCCAAACGCUAAAGUCUCCUGCAGCCUACCAGAGAACCUCUGAGAACAGAGAAUCAGGACAGGAACUCUUACCUUCUGGACAACCAACGUGGGUUCACAAACAAGAAUACAGAAUGUGUCUGACCAAAAACCUCUAAAGACUCACUACAGCCAAGAUGAAGACACAACUCAGCUGUACCAAAUCCACUAAUCACUGCACACAUUAGCACCAUGUGCUAACUGUGGCUAAAGAACCACAUUUACCAAGACAACUAUCCAGUACAAAGCCCUAAAACACACCAAGAAACACAUUAAAGAUGAUUUUACUGCUGGAAGCUGCAAGCCAACGCCUAAAGAACAAGCUAAAGCAACAGAGCCAAACCCGGUUCACUGGUGAAGCAGAGGAAAUGUUUGGCUGCAGCCAAAUAAAGCAGGAAGACACUGAGCUGCUCAGGUGUUCCUGAUAACACCAAGCAGCCACCUGGACAGCCAAUAGGAACACAGCUUACUGGAAGUCCAGAGGGCUGGGUUAGUGAAGGAAAUUUAGUUUAAAGUUGAAGCAGAAAGUUAACAAAGAAAGUUGAAAACCACCUUCUGAUACCUGAAAUCUCUGAGUUUUCACACAAAGAACACCUGAACAUGUCAAACUGGUUCCAUAGUAGAACCAUCAUUGUAAAAACGUCAUAGUAUGGUGUGUUGCUCAAAAAACAUUAGGACCCGGCUGUCAGGGGACAAACAUGUAAGAAACAUGAGAACAGAGAGAACCCAACCAGUAGGUCACAGUUUAUCAUCCCCAGUCAUCUCCUGAAGUCCAUAUGGUGAGAGACAUCAGUAUCUGGUUGUUAAUUUACCAGAGGAUGCUUAUAAUCAUGCUGAUGUGGUCUGUACUCUACAGUAUUUUAGUGACUCAAUAAAUGCCUAAGUUGUUUUUUUUUUUAAUGCUUUUUAGUUUUUAAUAAACAUUUAAUAGCCUAUAUGUAAUCAAUAAAUGGCCUUUGCCUAUCUUAAGAAAAAUUCACUCAGAACUCUGAUAUGUUAACAGUACUAAAUAAAUCAAUAAAUACAUGCAUACACACAAAAAUAAGUUAAUACAUUAACUGUGUUAAGAUAAGAUUUAGAUUUUUUAAAAAGUUGUUUAUGUUUUUGCAGAAUCCAGUAUUGCUCACUGGUUGGUCAUUACAUUUUGUUAGUUUGAUUUCACUGUUUAAAAUGAUGCCACCUCUUUUCAGACAGAACCUGUGAUAAUAAAACAAUACAAAAUUUUUAGUUCCGUGUUAAUAAAGCACUUAAAGCUUUAA